UUCGCAAUGCCCGAAAGGGUGACGAUGCGACGCCGCGUGAGCGAAGAAGGCCCUAGGGUUGUAAAGCUCUGUCGAGGGUUAUGAAAUAUAGAUGGGUUAAUACCCCAUUUAUUUGACAAAAGCCCAAAAGGAAGCCACGGCUAACUCUGUGCCAGCAGCCGCGGUAAUACAGAGGUGGCGAGCGUUGUUCGGUAUUAUUGGGCGUAAAGAGCACGUAGGUGGUUUUGUAAGUCAGGUGUGAAAGCCUUCUGUCCAAAGGAAGAACGGCAUCUGAAACUGCAGAUCUUGAGUGUAGGAGGGGAGAGUGGAACUUCUGGUGGAGCGGUGAAAUGCGUAGAUAUCAGAAGGAACGUCGGCGGCGAAAGCGACUCUCUGGCCUAUUACUGACACUGAGGUGCGAAAGUUAGGGGAGCAAACGGGAUUAGGUACCCCGGUAGUCCUAACCGUAAACGAUGGGCACUAAGUAGAGGGGUUUU
rnacentral:rRNA from 1 species